GUGGUGGCUCAGAGGUAGAGUGCUUGCCUGGCACAUGUGAGGCCCUGGGUUCAGUUCUCAGCACCACA
rnacentral:tRNA from 1 species